rnacentral:misc_RNA from 1 species
UUUCCGUAGGUGAACCUGCGGAAGGAUCAUUAUUGUAUAACCGAGGUGCGAGGGCUGUCGCUGACCCGAAAGGUCGUUCACGCCCGAGUGCCCUCACACACAUCCAUCUCACCCCUAUGUGCACCACCGCGUGGGUCCCCCUUUGGCUUGUUCGGAGGGGGGCUUACGUUUUCACACAAACUUUGUAUGCAGUGUAGAAUGUAUUUUUUGUUUUUGCGAUCACGCAAUCAAUACAACUUUCAACAACGGAUCUCUUGGCUCUCGCAUCAUGAAGAACGCAGC